rnacentral:rRNA from 1 species
AGAGAUUAAACUGAAGAGUUUGAUCCUGGCUCAGAUUGAACGCUGGCGGCAUGCCUUACACAUGCAAGUCGAACGGCAGCACGGAGCUUGCUCUGGUGGCGAGUGGCGAACGGGUGAGUAAUAUAUCGGAACGUACCCUGGAGUGGGGGAUAACGUAGCGAAAGUUACGCUAAUACCGCAUACGAUCUAAGGAUGAAAGUGGGGGAUCGCAAGACCUCAUGCUCGUGGAGCGGCCGAUAUCUGAUUAGCUAGUUGGUAGGGUAAAAGCCUACCAAGGCAUCGAUCAGUAGCUGGUCUGAGAGGACGACCAGCCACAC